GGAGGACAAGAAACUAACCAGGAUUUCCCUAGUAACGGCGAGCGAACCGGAAAGAGCCCAGCUUGAAAAUCGGGGCGUCUUGCGCCCCGAAUUGUAGUCUGGAGAAGGUCCCUCUGCGACGCGCCGGACCCAAGUUCCCUGGAAAGGGACGUCAGAGAGGGUGACAACCCCGUCGAGUCCGGAGUUCGUCGCUCCACGAGAACCUGUCUGCGAGUCGGACUGUUUGGGAAUGCAGUCCUAAGUGGGAGGUAAAUUCCUUCCAAGGCUAAAUAUUGGCAGGAGACCGAUAGCGAACAAGUACCGCGAGGGAAAGAUGAAAAGGACUUUGAAAAGAGAGUUAAAAGUGCUUGAAAUUGCUGGGAGGGAAGCGAAUGGAAGCUGCGGGUGCACCCCGGUUGGAUGUGGAACGGCUUGCGCUGGUCCGCCGCUCAACGCGGGGUGCUGGUCAGCGUGGGCUACCGCGGCGGGACAAGUGCGGGGAAUCGUUCCCCGCCCAUGCCGUUGCGGUGGCCGAGGAACGAAGCGCGCGCUGUAAAAGGCGUGGUCUCGGCCAACUGCGCGCUCGGGACGCUGGCGUAUUGAGCUCUUCAUCCGACCCGUCUUGAAACACGGACCAAGGAGUCUAACAUGUAUGCGAGCCGGUGGGCGGCAAACCCAUUGAGGCGCAAGGAACCUGACAGGUGGGAGCCCGUUGAGGGCGCACCAUCGACCGACCGUGAUCUUCUGUGAAAGGUUUGAGUGUGAGCACACAUGUUGGGACCCGAAAGAUGGUGAACUAUGCCUGAGCAGGGCGAAGCCAGAGGAAACUCUGGUGGAGGCUCGUAGCGAUACUGACGUGCAAAUCGUUCGUCAGACUUGGGUAUAGGGGCGAAAGACUAAUCGAACCAUCUAGUAGCUGGUUCCCUCCGAAGUUUCCCUCAGGAUAGCUGGAGCUCGUGUACGAGUUUUAUCAGGUAAAGCGAAUGAUUAGAGGCAUCGGGGGUGUAACACCCUCGACCUAUUCUCAAACUUUAAAUAGGUAAGCCGCCGGGGUUGCUUGGUUGAACCCCGGCACAGAAUGAGAGCUCCAAGUGGGCCAU
rnacentral:rRNA from 1 species